GUGUGGCAUGAAAGGAGAGAAGGUUAGUAUUCACCUUGCUAAGGAUGGAAAAGGUCCUGCUGAUCUUUACAACACAUAUGAUUAAGACUUUGCCACUAAAUGCCCUGUGGCAUUUAACCAUAGUUGAUU